CUUUUAAAAUGGUGACAAUACCCAUUUGGCCUGGCUUGCCUAAUGGGGUCCUGGGUUUAUCAGUGUGGGGUGGACCAGGGCCACCCAAAAUGUUCCAUAAUAGCAUAUUAAGUAACUUUAAUUCAAAAUAAUUAAGAAAGGUCCAGUGCAGGAAGGACAUACUGACCCUCCUUCGUCUCCAGAAAAUAGUAAAUAAAUCUUCCAUAUGAAAGAUACCCUUCUUGUACCAAGAGGUAGAGAGACAUCCUUGUGGUCAGAGACGAGGAAUUCCAACCUGAAGAAACCUAUAGUAACAAAACCUUGUUAUUUUUACUAAUCUACUCCAGCCCAAGUUCUUUGUAUAAAAGCUGCAUGUAUUGGUGGGGGGGACCUCUAUUUUAAUAUUGGGUUUUUGUGCAUACAAAAUUAAACUUCUUCCAUUUAAUUCUCAGGCCAGCUAGAAGGACCUUUGAAGGAUAAAUUAAAAUUUUUGCUGCCCAAGCAUAGUCCGGGGCAAAUGGUAACUAGCUGGACACUGCUACAGCUGAGAAAUCCUGAGACAUCUGACAAAUAGCUGUCAGAAGGAAUUACGUAGGACAUAAUGCGAACAUAAACUCUUCUAAGCCUGCUGUCCAAGCCAGCCUCGCAGACUGGUGAGUUCCCAGUUUUCCUCACACUGACAUCUGUUCGGACAAACUUUGCUGUAGAUCCCCUACAUAAAAUCCAAAUAAGGUUUUUUU